UACGAAGGGGGCUAGCGUUGCUCGGAAUCACUGGGCGUAAGGGGUGCGUAGGCGGGUCUUUAAGUCAGGGGUGAAAUCCUGGAGCUCAACUCCAGAACUGCCUUUGAUACUGAAGAUCUUGAGUUCGGGAGAGGUGAGUGGAACUGCGAGUGUAGAGGUGAAAUUCGUAGAUAUUCGCAAGAACACCAGUGGCGAAGGCGGCUCACUGGCCCGAUACUGACGCUGAGGCGCGAAAGCGUGGGGAGCAAACAGG
rnacentral:rRNA from 1 species